AGCACUCAAUGGUAGUCUCUAACUUCACAACCAGCUUUUGAAGCCUACCAGUGAGACAGAAGGAUGUGGAGCUAUUCUGAAGUGCUGAUGGGUACCGCUGUGCUCCUGGAGUCCCCUCUUGCUCCAGGGGCUGGCAAAUGAGUAUACAUUCACCUGGCAGAGCAAUAUACAUUCAAGAGGAAAGGAUGCUAAAAGCAGAAGCAGAUAUUUUUGGAUGAACAAGAUGUAAGGGUGGCUGCAUGUGAGACCGCCUGGGAUACCACCAAGUGAGGAGGAACUUGGGACCCACUUCCAAGCUGGAAGAAAACCAUCAAGAAAAGCAGAAGGCUAUCUUUAGCAUGCCAAGUACAUUAGAUUAAAAGAUGAGAUAAUCCUGUAGAGAAAGGAGAUUUUCCUCUAAAAUGUAUAUGUCUCUGAUGUCAUGAAAUAGCUGGUGUGAAAACUUGCUCAAUAUGUAGUAGCUCAGAUAUUUUAGCUCACUAUUUAUUUUUAUCCUCAGUAUGUUAACUAGGAAGACAGUGUCAGAACUGCAUGAAAUGAAGACACUUAGAGUAAGAAAAAACAUUUCUAACAAGUUAAGAAAUCAUUAUGUGAAAGACACUACUUAAAAUAUUGCUAAAUCUUCUUUCUAAAGGCACUGUUUUAUAACUUGAGUAAGUCUAAUCAGGACUGAAUGGGCAGCUUGAAGAACCCUGACAAAGUGAGCAAAGAGCAAAUGAAAGCAAGAUGUUUGCUUAGACUCACUGUGUGUGAUCUUUUCUAGUGCUGGGCUGUGAAUUCCAAGCCUGACCAUAGUUUUCUGUCUGCUCUUUUGAAGGUGGGGAUUUUUAUCUAUAGAAAGGAUUUCACAAUAUAACUAUGUGGUAUGGAGUACAUACUGUCACUAUAUUAAGACCAGCAUCAAUGAAUUAUUUUAGUUUUUAAGAUUACAUUAUUCUUAUUCUUUUCUCUUGUGGAAAAAUGUAUUACUCUAUGACCACAUAGCAGCUACAUGCCAGUGCCAAUGUUAGAUUUAAGUUUCUGAAUUUUGCUUCCCGUAUUGUCUAACAGUAUGCAAGGAACAUGAACAUGAACUUCCCAGUGUUUGAAACAGCCCACAUACCCACAGGAUUCCAAGAGGCCAGAAUGCCUACAAGUACCCUUAGCCAUGAAGGUGUUAAUCAGUGUAUAUACUGUUUCAUCUGCAUCUAAGCCCUGCAAUUAAAAUUAUAACUUUUAUGCCUGAUCCCCUGCUUGCUGCUAUUCAAAGUUCAUAUCUGCAUACUCUAGGGAUGGAACAGGCCUUUUGAAAGUAAAUAAUUGGCAAAAUUAGAGGGAUUUUCGAAGAUUGCAGAGCUUCCCUUUAGGACCAGUCCAGGAGCCCUGUCCUUCUGUCAAAGUACAAAUUACUCCCAUAUGGUGAUGUCCGUUCUCUCAACUGUAAUUUAUUCAUUAUGCAGAAUGCCAAAUACCAAAUGGUGAAAGCACAACAGCAAAACAAUGAAACAGCCUUUGGAAGCUAAUAAGUGUCCAAUCAAUGAGAACCUAAUGAACUAUAACAUGUAAUACUUUAUAAGGCAUUCAAAUUAAAAAGAGAAAAAA